rnacentral:rRNA from 1 species
UACGGAGGGCGCGAGCGUUGUCCGGAAUCACUGGGCGUAAAGGGCGCGUAGGUGGCCACCAUAAGGCCGCGGUGAAAGUUCGGGGCUCAACCCUGAAUCGGCCGCGGCGACUGUGGGGCUCGGGUACUGUAGAGGCAGGUGGAAUUCCUGGUGUAGCGGUGAAAUGCGCAGAUAUCAGGAGGAACACCGGUGGCGAAGGCGGGUCUCUGGGCAACAACUGACGCUGAGGAGCGAAAGCGUGGGGAGCGAACAGG